CGGCACCCAUUCACUGCAGAGGAUCCAUUGGUAAUUGCAACACAUGCCAAGUGUAUAGUUUCAUCACAUCAAAACACUGGGAAUGAUUAGGAAUGAUUUUGGGUCUUUCCAGCAGCCACUCAUUUCUGUCUUCCACCGAUGACCCAGCGAGGGGCCAGACACGAGAUGAUUGUUUGUGGCAUUGAUGUAACGUCUAGAAGAGCUUCAGUCUGUAAUUAUGUGAAGUGCUCAUGAAGGAGACAGACACGGUGAAGAUGAAUGUUCCCCGGCGCAAAGUCUGAUGAAAAAUCGUCUCUGUAAAUAUAAGCUGUAACCAUAAAAGCAUUCAGAAACAUUCAAACCAAAGAUCUGAUGAAGCUUCUCCGUAUUGAUUCGGGAGGUUCUCGCCAGCUCGAGUUUCUCCAGCCUGAGCGUUAAACAAUAGCAGCGUUUAUGUGGUUAACUCCUGCAUAACUCUUGCAUCAAAUACUGCAGAUACUUGCAUGACCAAUACUUAUUUAUACUGUAAUUUUACUGAGCUUAGUCUUUAUUUACUUUCA